rnacentral:rRNA from 1 species
UACGUAGGGUGCGAGCGUUGUCCGGAAUUAUUGGGCGUAAAGAGCUCGUAGGCGGUUUGUUGCGUCGGCCGUGAAAACCUGCAGCUUAACUGUGGGCCUGCGGCCGAUACGGGCAGACUUGAGUUCGGUAGGGGAGACUGGAAUUCCUGGUGUAGCGGUGAAAUGCGCAGAUAUCAGGAAGAACACCCGUGGCGAAGGCGGCUUUCUGGGACGGUACUGACGCUGAGACGCGAAAGCGUGGGGAGCGAACAGG